UAGGGGAGCAGUAGCACCUCCGCAGCUCUGCCGAGCAAAACAAGCCACGGGCAGGUGCAUAGAAAAAUAGUCUGUAAGGUACCCGGUAUUAACUGUGUAAAACAGCUGUUCUUUUACCAUGUGUAUAAAUGAUUUCUUAAGCUUUUUAAAGCGGUUCUUCUGUUCCAUAUCUUUAUUAGGAAGCAAGAUUUCAAACUGAAUUAACUUCUUUCUUGUCAAGCAAAAUGGGGGCUCUGGGACAAAGCCAGUGACUCUGCUGCGAUGGCUCUCGUGUGGUGAGGAGGAGUGUGGCAAGAUGGGCUCUGUGUUUCUAGGAGAAUAUGUCUGAGUUUAAGUUUGUAAGUUACACAAACAAGACCAAAGUUGCCUGAGCUUUGCUGACAGACCAGAAAGUCAGAGGUUUGGCAUCCUGAUUAAACAUCAUUUGUUUAAGGUUUUUUUUUUUUUUUUUUAUCCUUGUAUGCAGCGAAGGGAGUAUAUACCUGUACUGCUAGUGUACUUAUGUGUAUUUAUGCACAUACACAUUUUGAAGUGCAUUAUCUAGCAAAAGCUGCCUUGAAAAUGUUUGUAGAAACUAUUGGUGAACUCCAGAGAUUCAUGCCUCCGUCUUUGGUUGUAUUCGUUUGCUUCUCAUGGUAGGGUUUUCUAAGUGUAAAACCUAAAGUGUCAAGGAUUAGGUAUCCGAUGAUUUAUUUCUUUUUUAAGAGGGGUUGAAAAAGCAGAAUUUUCAACUUCAAGUUUACUUCUCUAAAUUUUCUUUUCUAGUUGGAGUCUGUGUUAGUAUUAAAAAAAACUGUCGAAAGAAUUAGAGGCUGCAGGCUAGUGCUUCACUUGCUCUGCGGCUAAGGUAGAGGUAUGGUUCUGUCACUCUAAGUCCCAUUUAUAUUUUGUGCAGGGAUUCAGAAUUUGGAUCUUUUAAGUUCCUUUUUAAAGGGGAAAAAUGCCAAAUUGUAUCCAGAUUGUGGUUAUGCAGAUAGAAUUGGCAGGCCUUUCCAUCAAGUAAGUGAUUUUAUACAUACGCAUAUUACAAAGUCUUAGUUUAUGUGUGUGUGUAUAUAUAUAUAUAUAUAUAAACUUUAAUGGAAUAUUUAUACAAACAUUGCGUAUUAACAGAAAACUCUGAGGGGAGAGAAAAUAAUAUUGAGUUCAGAUGGCUACAAAUGUGUUUUAUCUUUCUCUGUAGCCAGCGAUUCAGAAGUUGAAAUUGUGAUCUGCCAUAAACUGUGCAUUUCUGUAAUGGUAUUUACAGAACUUAUUAACCACUUGUAAUUUACUGUCUUAUGUUGCAUAUUUGUCAAUUCUAUAUUAAAUUAUAUACACACUGUUGAUAAUAUAUUGAGAAAUUAUAUAUUUUCUUUAACAAGCCUCUUUAACAAACAGUUCAAAAAUCUAAAUACCAGACUGACAGUAAGAAAACUGUACUGCUUAUUCUGUGCUGACAUUCAAAUUAUUUUUAUAAUUAGACUAUUUUUCUAGUGACAUUUUCAAAACAAUAAUGUAGAUUCACACUGAUUUUAUUUACUGUGUUUGAGUCUAUCAUUUUAUGAUGCAUCGUGUUAACAGUAGUGGUUAACUUCAUCUGGGCAUGGAAGAAUGACCAUUUGGAGAAAUCUCGCUGUGUUCCUGAAGUGCCAAACUGGGUAUAUGGGCCGUAGGAAGGUUAAAUAGCUUCAUGUCGUUGCCCAAAUAUCAUUUUUCUAUGAAUCUGUUGUCCUCAUACUAAUCAGCAUUUUUAUUUAGUUAGUUUAUUUUAUAGUUUAGUUAGGUUUUUUUAGUUUAAUUCAUUUAUUUUAGCUCCAAGAAAAGAUAACCUGUGCAGAUACAAAGAUGAUUUAAAUACGUAGUUUUUUUUCUCUGAUGUUUGCCCCUAAAUAAAGUGAGGUGUAGGUACUGAUUCGUGAUCCCGCUCUGUAACACUGGUCUGGCCGACGCUUUUCCCCUAAAUUGGAGCUUUGCAAUCUCACGUUAUUUCCGCUUAGAUCAAAAUAAAGCAGGAGGAGCUCGACUCUGUGCUUCUGAUGCAGGGUCUCUGGCAUACGGAUCCAUUUUGCUCAGUUACUCCCGUCAUGUAAAAUUUACCAGCGUUUUUCAAGCUGAAGGUUAGUGCCGCAGCUGUGAUCUUGGUUUUGUCAAAAUGCCUCCGCCGCGGGAGCUAAGAGCGUCCUGUUGGUCUGCUGCUGGGAAGCAGAGGCGGUUUAGGGGCCGCCGGGGGCCUGGCCUUGGCUGGAGAGGUUUGGAGAUGGGCUUCGGUGGGCACCAGGCCCCUCACGAGAUGGUUCAUGCACUGAGCUCGUGAUCCAUUAAAGCUGUGCCGCUGUGUAUGCCUAUUUUUAAAGGAAAACCUCAUGAUUAUUUUCCUCAGACCUAUUUACUGUUAAGUGUAUUUUUCUACUUUUUCAUGCAAUUUUGACAUCGUUACAGUGUUGGGGCAGAAUUUCUAUCAGCAUCUAUUUUGUUGGCUCUCAUGCGUUUGAGCAACAAAAGGACUCGGUUGCAUCUUUAAUCGUAGAUGUAGGUUUGAAAAGAUUGUGCCAAUUUUCUUUCAGAUGCUUUCGCACUUUUAGGUAGAGCACUUGAGAAUGACAGCUAAAAUGAUAACAUGAAAGCGACUGCUUCUCAUGACCUUUGUUGUAUAGAUCUUCAGGUAAACUAUGUAUUUUUAAAUGCAAUAUGUAGGGGCAUGUGGAAGCUCGAGCAGUUAUGUUUGUACAUCGCUCUUCUGGUAUAAAUAAUCUAAGGAAAGAAGAGGAAUUGGAAAAAAUUUAAAUGAAUAUGGACUCGUUAAUUAGUGAAAUGAAACCAUGUAAAUCCAGGGGUGUUGCAAGUUUCAGGAGUGAAGGGAUUCGUCCUUUAAGGGUGGUUCUCAGCCAGGCUCGAUGCCCAGCAUAGCUCUGCCGCAGUACUGCAACCUGGUGCUCUUCCGACAGAUGCCUCUAACCUCUGUGUUGUGUAAAGUGAAUCUGAUACUACUCCAGAAUGUGUAUUUCUACUUUUUUUCACCAUAAACUAAGAAGCCAGCUUGUCAUUUGUGUUUUUCUCUGGAUUUUCUAAUUUGACUCUGUAAUACCGUGUUAUAUUAUAUUGCCUUUGUAUCGUAAGGUCCACCUGAGCCGUGUCAGCACGAGUUGCCCUCGGCUGGCAGCAGGCUUUGUGGACUAACUGUGUUUUUACCUAACGCACUUUCUACCAGUUGGGAGCAGGCCUCUUCUUGAACCUACACGUUUCGGUUGUUGGAAACGCGUCUCGUGGCAAUGCGAGGGAAGGCUGUCUGCUUGGGGAAGGGAAUCCGCAGCAGGUGUUGUCACAGCCUCGGGUCUCUGAAACUCUUCAUUAAAGUGUUACUGCUUUUUCUAUGGCUGCGGCUUCUCGUUGUAGUUCAUUUCGCUUGGCUUUCCUCGCGCGGUGCGCGGAGUCUCCCCGACGCGACUGCCCGACUCCAUGCCGACCCUGGCAGCCAGCAGCUGCUGCUUCGCCCCCAGCACAGCGGGGCCAAAUCCUGGCAAGGACGCAAGUAAUUCUGACGAGAAUACGUGGAACAAGCAACAGUGGCGGCCGAGUCUGGCGUACUAGGGCAACCGAGGAUAAGAGACCUAUGGAGUUACAUUUGCGUGUAUUUGCACUCCGACUUGUUUAAAUUUUUUCUUUAAUGUCUGACACUUUUGCUUCUACAAUACUGCACAACAGGAAGGAUUUUUAAGUAAGUGUGAACCGAGGUAGUAGCCAGUGGAGGUGGCUAUAAUGUGAGGUGCAUUUGCUUUUGCAAGGCUUUUCAUUUAGCUGAAGCAGGUAAUUCACAAGAUCCUCCUGCCCUACGACACCAAACGAAACCCUCUGAAGUGGAUUUCAGCUACUGUCUCCUACUAGACACAUGCCGUAAAAACACAGGGCUGCAGCAGUGCAGCCGGGAGCUGCAGGCCGGGCUCAGCGCGGCAGCCCCACGGCGGAGGAGCCCCGGGAAGGCGUCGGCGAGCGCACGGACACGGCCUUGCCCGAGCCCCGAUGUAGGUCACCUGCCUCCAUGGAGACUCCCGGCUCAUCCUUCGGCGGCGAGGCUCCGGGGCGCGUGGGAGGCGGCCGUCUGUUGCCUUCAGCAAGUGCUGUGGGUGUGAUGGAGCCUGUUUUCCUUCUCUUUUGGGGCCAGGAGACAGGUUUCUGCCACAGGGGUUAUGGCGUGCGUGUGUAUACGUACAACAAAAGAGGCAGCGAGUUGGCAGCUCUCCCUGCGCUGUCCCACCCACCUGGCAUGGAGCAGGGUUUAACUCCUAGCACAGAAACCUCGUAACCCCGGUGGCUGCAAGGGAGCAGGCACCGUGUUACGCAGGAAAGUAGCACUGAGGUCCCUGCAGCAGGUUGAAGCAUGAGCUGAGCAAAGUGCAACAGCCAGGGCUGGAGUCUCUGCACCUGGAAUGGGCCAAAGGCAACCGCGUUUUGAGAAGCGUCAGGAGACCCGGAGCAAGGGAAACACCGCAGCUUUUCCUGGGAGGAACCGCGUGCCCACACUGAUUGCAAUCACUGCACCCUCCCAAGGCGGCAUUCCUUCCUCCCCUGCUUUGCUUUGAAGAGUAAGCAGGAGCAGCACAAAGAUCAAAUUCAGGAAAGGGCAGAAGGGUUUGCAGUGGCUCUAUGGUGUAAUGCGUGUCAGACAACCAGAUUAACAGCUUUUCUGAAAGGAAGACAGUGAGAAAAGUUUUGCUAGUAAAAGGAGCCAGGUUUCCCCAACUUUCAAGAGAAUUCAAGCCUCCGGUAGUGCUGGAGCCUCUAAAAUACAACUUCUUGUUCUUUGAUCUGUGCUGUAAAUGGCAGUGGUCCAGAAAAAUAAGUAACAAUUCCUGCAAAACAGCAUCAGCUACUUUUUAAUUUUAUGAUUUCGGGAGGGGCCCAGGAUAAAACCCACAUGCCACUUUAGGUCCUGUACGACAAGCUCUGAACACGCAGCACUCAUCCCUGACGAGGAACCACAGGCACCAGCUCGGCCUUUUCAAGGGCACACUAUUGAAUGCAGUAAGAAAGUAAAACCUAAUACAGCAGAAUUGAGGUUAAACAUUUUAUUUCAAAAAAAAAAAAAAUCUAAAAACACUAUCCAAUUUCAAACAAUUAUAUUAAUGUAGAUGUCUUUAAACAUCUGAGUGUUAAAACAAGUGGUGUGGUUGUAGACCAACUGCUAAGGGUAUUCUGGUUCCAAAAGCUUGUAGUAUAAAUAAAUUUUCCAUCAAUAUCAUAAAAUAAGUUAUUAUAUAUCUUAAAAUAUAAACUUGAGAAUUAACAUCCCAAAAUACAAUAAAAUUGUAUGUAAAAAUGUUUUGAUUAAC